UUUGCUGUAUCAUGUCGAGUGUAGCAGUAGUAAAAACAAUCGAAUAUGCUUGGACAGAAAAUUAAUCGAAUAUGGUGACCUCCUCAACAACCAUCGCUCUACCAUAAAGACCAAAAAAAUCAAAUAGCCCGUCGGGGAACAUUUCAAUAUGAGGGGUCACAAAUGGGAAGACAUGACAGUGGUGUUUAUUGACCACAAUCCACAUUGGGCAGACGCGGAGAGGAAAAGCAAAGAAAAGUUCUGGAUGCACAGACUCAAAUCAUUCAGACCUGAUGUCACGAACAAGCAAAUAGAUUCCAUUGAGAUGAACGUCUCAUAGCCGAACAUCACCUGAUACCCAUAUAGUAAUUUUAUCAAAUCUGUCAACUGCGCCUCUUUCAGUUAUUAGUUUCCUUUCUGCUUUUAUUUGUUUAAAUUAUUUUUAUAAUUUCUUGUUUUUAAAUUAUUUAUUUUUUUCUCUUUUUACCCACACUCUUACCCAUUACAAACUUAAAUAAUUCAGAUCUAAAUCAUAAGCGUCAUACGAGUUAACAACGGGGAUUUAAAUUUUCCAUUAUUAAAGCUGAUAUGAAUUCAUAAAAGCACUUGGUCGCCAUAUUAGUUUCGAUCGCUCCUCUACUGCCACUGGGGUAUAUAUAGCGGUUGAGAAAGUUACGGUCGGUUGCUUUCCGAUCGAGGCAUUUACGUUGCACGGACUUCUAAAUGCAUGAACUACAUAUUGUAGUAAAAUGUUUGUAAUAAAGAAUAAAAAAACAACAAUCAAUGAGUACAAAAUAUAUUUAUUCUUUGAAAGGAUGUCCAAAGCAUCCGUAUUAUUUUGCACAAACAGUGCUGCCUUACUUCGCAUGCACAUCGAACACGUGUGUCGUUCAUACCGAAGGCAUGACGUCUGCAUCUUCUUGAAAAGCCGGCGACAUUACAUCCAACACAGUAGCUAAAUGAUAGUAAAUCUAAGAAAGUAACAACGUUUCCACCCGUUUCUACAAAAACGCCCCAUUUCUAAAAUCCAUGCGAUAAUUGACAUCGCUCGAUCUGCCACAGUGUGUUGUUUGCGCAUGUGCGAUGAAAUAACAUACACAGGAAAACGGUCUACAAUUUUCGUCCAAGGUGUUCAGGUGUAUGAAAUUCCUGAAUGCGAUAGAGCAUGAAUAGUGCUCUCGGCUUUAUAUAGGGGGUGUGUAGCGAUGAGCAGAACAAUAGAAAUCGACAACUAAUAUGGCGGUAGUCGGAGAUAAAAGGGAAAUAAUGCGUAUUUAUGAAUUCAUGUCAGCUUGAACUCGGACGUCCAUUUUAAUUAGCUAAUAAACUCAAUCAGGCGUGAAGUUGGCAGUGGAUAGAUUACUUUAUAGCAAUCAGCCGUAUUGCCAACACCUGUUCUAAGAUUGUGAUCUGAAACUGUUUAAAAUGUAGUUGUACUCUGUAUAUAGUUUCUUUGAUAAUGUUAUAUGUGUAGUUAUAGUGCUAUAUAUCUUUUCUUUGUGUUUACCCGUGUAAUUUAUUUCCUUUGUCCUGAAGAAAGGACGGACUGGUUGUCUCGAAAAUUUUGACAAUAUCAAUUGUUCGGGUCAUUAACCAUUUAUAUAAAUAUGCAGUUGUGAAUAAAAUAUACAAAUAUAAAAGUAUG
rnacentral:sRNA from 1 species